CACGCCCUCUUCCCUCCCCCCUCCCCCCUCCCACCGGCCCCGCCGAGGGUCACCUGACCCGAGACCGGGGAUUGUUCCGGGUAAUGGCCGCCAAGGGCCACACACACCGCCCCGCCCCACGCUCUCCGCGCGCAGGAGCGUAGGGGAGGGGCUGGACCCCGCGCUUAACGCAUCAUCCCGCAGCUUCCCGCCAAUCCGAAGCCUCAACGCCCGGGAACCUCCGCCCACCUGAGCAGGCGACUUCCGGGGCGCUCGUGUCAGUGUCUCCCGCCCACCCGUUCUGGCGUCUGAGGGGCGGGGUCGGAGCAACUGGCGGUUGUGUCAGAAUUUCCCAGAUUUACUAUAUGAUCCAGGAUUCCACUUACUCGCAUUGAGGGCCAUAAAAAUGUUCAUCCCAUCACAGAGUUUACCAUGGAUUAAACACUUCUCAAAAUUG